UACGGGGGGGGCAAGCGUUGUUCGGAAUUACUGGGCGUAAAGGGCUCGUAGGCGGCCAACUAAGUCAGACGUGAAAUCCCUCGGCUUAACCGGGGAACUGCGUCUGAUACUGGAUGGCUUGAGUUUGGGAGAGGGAUGCGGAAUUCCAGGUGUAGCGGUGAAAUGCGUAGAUAUCAGGAAGAACACCCGUGGCGAAGGCGGCUCUCUGGAACGCAACUGACGCUGAGACGCGAAAGCGUGGGGAGCAAACAGG
rnacentral:rRNA from 1 species